rnacentral:rRNA from 1 species
CUGGGCGUAAAGCGUGCGCAGGCGGUUAUGUAAGACAGAUGUGAAAUCCCCGGGCUCAACCUGGGAACUGCGUUUGUGACUGCAUAACUAGAGUACGGCAGAGGGAGGUGGAAUUCCGCGUGUAGCAGUGAAAUGCGUAGAUAUGCGGAGGAACACCGAUGGCGAAGGCAGCCUCCUGGGCCAGUACUGACGCUCAUGCACGAAAGCGUGGGGAGCAAACAGGAUUAGAUACCCUGGUAGUCCACGCCCUAAACGAUGUCAACUAGUUGUUCGGUGAGGAGACUCAUUGAGUAACGCAGCUAACGCGUGAAGUUGACCGCCUGGGGAGUACGGCCGCAAGGUUAAAACUCAAAGGAAUUGACGGGGACCCGCACAAGCGGUGGAUGAUGUGGAUUAAUUCGAUGCAACGCGAAAAACCUUACCUACCCUUGACAUGCCAGGAACUUGCCAGAG